ensembl:lncRNA
AAGACGAAACACAAAAUCUAAAUGGAUUCCAGAGUGUGAAACAGACUUUUCUGUUCCAAGUUCAUGUAUGGACUUACCACAUCAAGUAAAUCACUUAGAGUAGGUGGGAGCAUCAUUUCAAAUCAUCGUUAAUAACGACAAAAGGUACCAUCUCGAGGCUCUAUGCACCAGACACCAUAGUAGACGCUUAAAAUGCCGUCCUUACCACAACAACAGGAAGGAAGAAUUACUCCCUUCUGUAGGGUCACCAUAGAAUCUACUCAGGACGCUUGAGAUGUUGAAUGGAGACGCUAUGCAUAAGUGUGCCAGGACACAAAGCAUAAGCCAAGAUUGGCCCUGGCAAAGCGGGGCAUAUGGCACCCUCCUCGUGUUUCAGCUAAAGAAACCCUGACCCGGAGUACCAAGUGCCUUACCAGGUCCCACAGCUUACGAGGUGACAGGACGCAAAGGCAGGUCUGUGUGACUCCAAAAUCCAUGCUCUUUCUAGUGCCUUUGUCUUAAGUACCGGGCACAGUGGGAGGAGGUGGGAGGGCAGAGGGUAGAAGCGGAGGGCGUGAGGGUGUGACUGAUCUGGUUACAUCCACCUGCUUAACCAGGUCAGCCUCACUUCCACAGGCUGCCACCGUCACUGCUUAUUCUGCAACUCCCCAAACUCCAGACCACACAGAGCCCAUGAUGGGACACAGUCAACCUGUGCUCUCUAAUGAUGGACCUUUCAUGUAAGCUUUCUGGGGGGAAAGAAAGAGAAAAUAAGAAAAGAGCAAACUGAAAGACGCUUGGGGAUAACAAGGGAAUCUAAAGAGAGUCACCAGAGAAACCAGACUAAUGAACGCAGGAGGCUUCCCAGAGGACCCUGGGUUUUGCUGUCCAGGAACCACAAAUAUUCACUUCACUCGACUCCAUGGCCCAGCACCUCCAUUCCGUGAGAGACAUGAUUAUUUCAGCAAUGAAACCUACCAAAUGUUAAAAAUGACUCACAAGGCAGCGAGCGGCACGGAGAUUGGAUUGUGAGAGCUUCGGGAUGGAAAAGGUCGGUAAAGAAAACACUAGAAAGAUUGGGAGAAAGGAGAGCGGCUGCAGAAACCUGCAGGUGGAGUCCGGGUGGGCUCAGGGCUUCGGAAAAGGGACUGGGGAGGAAGUGGUUUUCUGUUUGUCUGCCCGCUGCAGGUUCUGACGGUUAGGCACCUGCUUAUCUGUCCCCUUCUCCAGUAAGUCUCUGAGGUCCCUGAAAAGCCAACACUGAGAGUGGAGAGGCAGCUACACAAAUACUCCCAGUUUUUAAACAAGCUCAAAACUAAAACCUGAUGCUUCUGUUGCCACUACUCCCUAGCUUUUAUUUCUACCUUUUCGUGUGGUUACAUCUUCAUGUUUUCUUCUUUUGAAAGGUAUCCGAGCCUCUCUCGAAACUGCUCUGAUGAGCUCUGUUUGAUGCAUUUCUCUUCUCCCUCUGUGCUCCGGGAGGUAGAGCACCAGGCAAGGCUGGCUCGCCAUUCGCUAAUGCUGUGACCCAGAUUGCGUCUGUUUGGUUUAAUAAACAGGGAGAGUUUUAGCCUCGGGGUGGUGAU